AACGAACGCUGGCGGCAGGCCUAACACAUGCAAGUCGAGCGCUUCACUUCGGUGAGGAGCGGCGGACGGGUUAGUAACGCGUGGGAAUAUGCCCUUCUCUAUGGAAUAGCCUCGGGAAACUGAGAGUAAUACCAUAUACGCCCUUCGGGGGAAAGAUUUAUCGGAGAAGGAUUAGCCCGCGUAAGAUUAGAUAGUUGGUGGGGUAAUGGCCUACCAAGUCUACGAUCUUUAGCUGGUUUGAGAGGAUGAUCAGCAACACUGGGACUGAGACACGGCCCAG
rnacentral:rRNA from 1 species